GUUAGGAAUUUUGCGCAAUGGGGGAAACCCUGACGCAGCAACGCCGCGUGAAGGACGAAGGCUUUCGGGUUGUAAACUUCUUUUAGCAGGAAAGAACACAAUGACGGUACCUGCAGAAAAAGCACCGGCUAACUCUGUGCCAGCAGCCGCGGUAAUACAGAGGGUGCAAGCGUUAUUCGGAAUUACUGGGCAUAAAGAGCGCGUAGGCGGUCUAAUAAGUCUGAUGUGAAAUCCCUGGACUCAAUUCAGGAAGUGCAUCGGAUACUGCUAGACUAGAGUGCAGGAGAGGAGAGCGGAAUUCCUGGUGUAGAGGUGAAAUUCGUAGAUAUCAGGAGGAACAACAGUGGCGAAGGCGGCUCUCUGGACUGCAACUGACGCUGAGGCGCGAAAGCGUGGGGAGCAAACAGGAUUAGAUACCCUAGUAGUCC
rnacentral:rRNA from 1 species